rnacentral:rRNA from 1 species
UACAGAGGGUGCGAGCGUUAAUCGGAAUUACUGGGCGUAAAGCGUGCGUAGACGGUUACAUAAGUCGGGUGUGAAAGCCCCGGGCUCAACCUGGGAAUUGCAUUCGAGACUGCGUAGCUAGGGUGCGGAAGAGGGAAGCGGAAUUUCCGGUGUAGCGGUGAAAUGCGUAGAUAUCGGAAGGAACACCAGUGGCGAAAGCGGAGCUUC